rnacentral:tRNA from 1 species
GAGGGUAUAGCUCAAGGCGUAGAGCGCAUGCUUAGCAUGCACAAGGUCCUGGAUUCAAUCCCCAGUACCUCCC